AAGUCGUAACAAGGUUACCGUAGGUGAACCUGCGGUAGGAUCAUUGACACUUUUUGACACACACAAAAAAAACAUGCGAAUUUUGAAGAAAGUUCAAUUUUUUUUUCUUCUUAAAAAUAAAAAUUUUUCAAUCCUUUCAAACCAUUAGAUUUCUAUUAUUGAAAUUUAUACGAUUACAUUUUCAACAAUGGAUCUCUUGGCUCUC
rnacentral:misc_RNA from 1 species